ACUGAGGAGAUAGCGGCGGCUUUAGUCGGCUGAGGCGUCACCGCAGUUUUGGGUCGCCGGACCAUCGACAAACUGGACGCUUCAUCUUUGCACUCCACUCCUGUCACGGGGUCCCGUGGGGGACGAGGCCACGCGGUACCUGUUGGUCCACGAUGCGGCCAACGCGGUAGAAACUAUCUAAGAUCAGCACUUUCAAGAGGGAUCAGAGUUCUCCCGCAAAGCGCAGAGCAGCGAGCGAUGAGGAAGAAGGAAAAGAGUUCCCCGUCCAAUCAGAGACGCAGAUGGCCACGGAAGACGUGAGCACCAGCCCAUCCGGCGCCGGGGCGACUUCCGCCUGCCAAUUCGUGCACAGCGAAUCAAAUGCGAGCCCGUGAUUGAACAGCGGACGCAGUUUAACCUGGACACCCGUAUCUGACCGCGCUGAUUCUACUCUGAGGAAUCACUAAAUCCUGACCAAAUCACGCCAACACGUCCUCGCUCCCUUUUCUAAAUGG
ensembl:lncRNA